GGCAGCAGUAGGGAAUCUUCCGCAAUGGACGAAAGUCUGACGGAGCAACGCCGCGUGAGUGAUGAAGGUUUUCGGAUCGUAAAGCUGUUGUUAGGGAAGAACAAGUACCGUUCGAAUAGGGCGGUACCUUGACGGUACCUAACCAGUAAGCCACGGCUAACUACGUGCCAGCAGCCGCGGUAAUACGUAGGUGGCGAGCGUUGUCCGGAAUUAUUGGGCGUAAAGGGCUCGCAGGCGGUUUCUUAAGUCUGAUGUGAAAGCCCCCGGUCUCAACCGGGGAGGGUCAUUGGAAACUGGGGAACUUGAGUGCAGAAGAGGAGAGUGGAAUUCCACGUGUAGCGGUGAAAUGCGUAGAGAUGUGGAGGAACACCAGUGGGGAAGGCGACUCUCUGGUCUGUAACUGACGCUGAGGAGCGAAAGCGUGGGGAGCGAACAGGAUUAGAUACCCUGGUAGUCCACGCCGUAAACGAUGAGUGCUAAGUGUUAGGGGGUUUCCGCCCCUUAGUGCUGCAGCUUA
rnacentral:rRNA from 1 species